rnacentral:rRNA from 1 species
AGCCGCCGCGGUAAUACCCGCAGCCCUAGUGGUGGUCUUUGUUAUUGAGCCUAAAGCGUCCGUAGCCGGACUGUUAAAUCCUUGGGUAAAUCGGGGGGCUUAACCCACCGGAUUCCGGGGACACUGACAGUCUAGGGACCGGGAGAGGUAGAAGGUACUUGCGGGGUAGGGGUAAAAUCCUGUAAUCCUGUAAGGACCACCGGUGGCGAAGGCGUUCUACCAGAACGGAUCCGACGGUAAGGGACGAAGCCCUGGGGCGCGAACCGGAUUAGAUACCCGGGUAGUCCAGGGUGUAAACGCUGCAGACUUGGUGUCGGGUGUCCCAUGAGGGCAUCCGGUGCCGGAGCGAAGGUGUUAAGUCUGCCGCUUGGGGAGUACGGUCGCAAGACUGAAACUUAAAGGAAUUGGCGGGAGAGCACAGCAACGGGAGGAGCGUGCGGUUUAAUUGGAUUCAACGCCGGAAAACUCACCGGGAGCGACGGUUACAUGAAGGUCAAGCCGAUGACUUUACCUGAUUUUCCGAGAGGUGGUGCAUGGCCGUCGUCAGUUCGUACCGUAAGGCGUUCUGUUAAGUCAGAUAACGAACGAGACCCGCACCCUUAUUCGCCAGCCUAUUCUUCGGAAUGGGCGCACUAUAGGGGAACCGCCAGUGCUAAACUGGAGGAAGGUGCGGUCAACGGUAGGUCAGUAUGCCCCGAAUCCCCCGGGCUACACGCGCGCUACAAAGGACAGGACAAUGGGCUCCGACACCGAGAGGUGAAGGCAAUCCCGAAACCUGUUCGUAGUCUGGAUUGAGGGCUGUAACUCGCCCUCAUGAAAAUGGAUUCCGUAGUAAUCGCGGGUCAACAUCCCGCGGUGAAUAUGCCCCUGCUCUU